UCAAAACCAUAUUGCCUUCCUUAGCAAGCUUUCCUUUCAAAGCCACAUCAGUCUUCUGCACCUUAAGUGAUCUCUUGUGCUUCAAUUUUGACUUCUUUCUCAACCGACCAACUGACAGAUCACUCUCCUCCUUUUCUACCUUCUUAGGUCUCCCACGCUUACGUUUCAAAUUCUUCAUCUUCAGUAGCCCAGCACCCGAACCAUGACUUUCUUCCUUUCUCAACCAACCAACUGACAGAUCACUCUCUUCCCUUUCUACCUUCUUAGGUCUCCCACGCUUGCGUUUCAAAUUCUUCAUCUUCUGUUGCCCAGCACCCGAACCAUCACUUUCUUCCUUUCUCAACUGACCAACUGACAGAUCACUCUGUUCCUUUUCUACCUUCUUAGGUCUCCCACGCUUGCGUUUCAAAAUCUUCAUCUUAUGUAGCCCAGCACCCGAACCAUCACUUUCUUCCUUUCUCAACUGACCAACUGACAGAUCACUUUGUUCCUUUUCUACCUUCUUAGGUCUCCCACGCUUGCGUUUGAAAUUCUUCAUCUUAUGUGGCCCAGCACCUGAACCAUCACUUUUUUCCUUUUCAACCUUGAGUGGGCUCCCUCUCUUGCCUUUCAACUUCUUUGUAAACCGUUCAACCAACUGAUCACCCCCUUUG
rnacentral:lncRNA from 1 species